rnacentral:rRNA from 1 species
UACGUAGGGCGCAAGCGUUGUCCGGAAUUAUUGGGCGUAAAGAGCUCGUAGGCGGCCAGUUGCGUCUGCUGUGAAAUCCCGGGGCUCAACCCCGGGCGUGCAGUGGAUACGGGCUGGCUAGAGGCAGGCAGGGGAGAACGGAAUUCCCGGUGUAGCGGUGAAAUGCGCAGAUAUCCGGAAGAACACCGGUGGCGAAGGCGGUCUGCUGGGCAGUUGCUGACACUGAGGCGCGACAGCGUGGGGAGCAAACAGG